AUUGAACGCUGGCGGCAUGCCUUACACAUGCCAGUCGAACGGCAGCGCGGACUCCGGUCUGGCGGCGAGUGGCGAACGGGUGAGUAAUACAUCGGAACGUACCCUGUUGUGGGGGAUAACUAGUCGAAAGAUUAGCUAAUACCGCAUACGACCUGAGGGUGAAAGUGGGGGACCGGAAACGGCCUCAUGCAGCAGGAGCGGCCGAUGUCUGAUUAGCUAGUUGGUGGGGUAAAGGCCCACCAAGGCGACGAUCAGUAGCUGGUCUGAGAGGACGAUCAGCCACACUGGGACUGAGACACGGCCCAGACUCCUACGGGAGGCAGCAGUGGGGAAUUUUGGACAAUGGGGGCAACCCUGAUCCAGCAAUGCCGCGUGUGUGAAGAAGGCCUUCGGGUUGUAAAGCACUUUUGUCCGGAAAGAAAUCGCGCUGGUUAAUACCUGGCGUGGAUGACGGUACCGGAAGAAUAAGCACCGGCUAACUACGUG
rnacentral:rRNA from 1 species